rnacentral:lncRNA from 1 species
GUCCAUAUCUCAGAUACUAUAAGCAAUAGGGCUAGUAUAUUCGGUGUAUGGAUGGACUGUAAGGUGUACAUGUCCAACUGGCAGGUGUCAUCUGACCUUGACCUCAUUUUCAUGGUUCAGUGGUUAUAGUUAAAUUUUUGUGUUUUGGUCUGUUUUUCUCAUACCAUAUGCAAUAGGUCUACUAUAUUUGUUGUAUGGAAUGAUUGUUAAGUGUACAUGUCUAGCGGGCAGAUGUCAUGUGACCUUGACCUCAUUUUCAUGGUUCAGUGGUCAAAGUUCAGUUUUUGAGUUUUGGUCUUUUUAUCUAAUGCUAUAUGCCAUAGGUCAACUAUAUUUGGUGUAUGGAAAUAUUUUAUGAUCUUUAUGUCAGUCGAGCAGGUUUUAUUUAACCGGGACCUCCUUUUCA